ACGUAGCGUCAGCAGCGACGUCAGCAGCGAGAUCGUGCGCGUCACAGCUGUCAUUAAAACAACAUUAAAACUAAAGCAAACAGUGGCCCAACAAAUUAAACUCACACAUAUAAAAAACAACGAAAAUGACAAAACAAAGUAAAUAACACUCUCCAAUGGAUCCCAAUUCGAUACAAAAUAAAUAUUAACAAAAGGCAAGGCCAAGCACAAACACAUUCGCGAUCGCACGGAAGCUAAGUGUUGGAAAACGCUGACGUCUUUGGAGAGUUCUGCACCGAGCGUUGAGUUCAAGCUAAAAAGUCAAAGGAAUUCUUAGACCAAAGGAAAUGUUGUCUAUUAGCAAAACUUUCAUUAAAACUUUUCCAAUUUCUAAGCAAAAUAACAGUAAAACUAAAAAGCUCCUCGAAUUCUAUGCUAAUUGUGACUAAUUGGCGAGCUCUGCCAGCUCCGCUAUUUGGGUACAGUUGUCAACACGUUGCCAGUUAAUCAAUCAAUCAGUCAAUCAAUCAAUCAAUCCCCUUGGCCAUGUACCACGCUAAGUAGGCCAAAUGAUAGCGAAAAAGCAAUCGAACAAGAGAAAAUCGAAUUGGCACAUUCACUGGGAUGCUUGAAAAAAGAAGAAGAGGAAAAACAUACAAACAAAAAAUUAACAUAGCUCAGCUGAAGAAAGCUGCAAUAAGGCAAAAGAAAGCUGCGGAAUUUUAGCAAUGCGGCCAACACGAUGGCCAAUGGCCUCCCCAAGCGCCAACACAAGGCCUUAACAGCCAGACCAGUCUAACUCUACAGAGAGGGAGAGGGAGAAAAAGAAAGACAGAAGCGAGAGCAAAAGAGAGAAACAAGUGAAGAUCGUUCAUUGCCGUAAGAAAAAAUCAACAAAAAAUGUUGAAAUAAAAACAUAAAUGUAUAUAAAUAUAUAA